UGCAAAGUCACAUUACAAACAGUGAGAAGAAUGAUAAACCUUAAUUGCUGCUAUUAGGUGAAGAGAAGAAAGACUUAGUCCAGAAUGGAGUAAAGCUCAGGAUGUUCUACCAACUAAAGCUGAAGAUAAGUUUAUACCGCCCUUUGAAUGGUGUCUUCAUCUGUUUGGUUAAAAGUGACUUGAGGCGCCUGGGCGGCUCAGUCAGGGUUCUCAUUUAAAAUUCCACAUUGUCUCAACUGUUCUACCCCGUGACAAAGUUUUAAUGAGGAAACACGGGGCCUCUGGGGCCCAUGAUGUUGGUGGGAGCAGCUGGCAGAUUGAAAGAACUUCAAGAGGAAUGAUGAAACUCAAGUGAACAAAAUCAGUACCUCCCCACUUGAUGGUUUUUCUCUGGUGUUUGGUUUACUGAGAAACCAUUCCCUGCUACCUAGAGGGAGGAUAUGGAACCACCUUAAACGACGCAGCUGUCCUUCAUCUCCUGGCCGCCCUUGGUAGGAAAGGCCUAGAGUUGCACCAGAAGAUAAAAGGAAGUACAGGGAGAUCAAAUCUCACCAGUCAUCCUAACCCGAGACCUCCCAACCCCAACGGUACUACAUUCAGUAGGCUGGAAAUGCAGAAUUGCCCAAUCCUUAGACCCAGACAAUCCAGCCACCAGCUACUGCUCCGCCUCUGAGCUUACAACACAUUCUCUCUCCCCACCUCAUUUUCCAUUUAAUUAUGUGCUGCCCCAUGACACCAAUGUGCUACUCCAUAAUUAAGAGCAUGUUAUUUCAGUGCCAUGCGGUUUCAUUGUAAUUUUACUUUUCACGCUUUUUCUUUUAUGUUGGGUACUGAUAGGAAUAGAAUAUUUCCAUGACCAAACAGAUUUACAGAUUUACAGUCAGCUUGUGAGAGUUUAAUGUCAAGAUAUUAUAGAACUACCUAUCAGGGAAGAAAUGGUUCAGUGGAAUCAGACUUAAUGAUUAAUCGGGCUUUUCAGAUUUAAAACAAAAAUCAAGGAACACAUCAAGCAGAUUUUGCAUAAUAUACAGGUAUUAGUAAGUACAUAGGAGAAUCCUUAUUGCAUAAUAUUCAUUAUUUGUUCUACUUUCUUAGGGAGGGGGGAGGGAGAGAGCAUGAGCACGGGAGGCGCAGAGAGAGAAAGAGGGAGAGAGAAAAUCCUAAGCAGGCUUCAUGCUCAGCAUGGAACAAUUAACGUGAUUCAUCACAUCAUUAAAAGAAAGGACAAGAACCAUUUGAUCCUCUCAAUAGAUGCAGAGAAAGCCUUUGACAAAAUACAGCAUCCUUUCU